UUCUAACUCUAUGGGACAAUCUGAAGUUAUUUGGCUCAUCGUUGUGUCACAAGUUUCUGACAUCACCGUGCCUGUACACCAUCGACUUCACUGGAAAUAUGUCUGCACGUACUUCAUCGUCCGCCGGAACUUUGUCUGACCUGAGGUACGUACUACAGUCUCAUGAAUUUGAAUGUGUCAUCAACUAUUACUUAUUAGUUCUGUAUAUGUUCUUUAGUAUAUUGUAAGCUCUGAACAAGACAAUGCCUAAAAGGGUCAGACAUUGCUUUUCCGUGCCAUUCAGUUUUUUCAGUUGAGUUGGCUACUUAAUUUUCCACUAUGUUAAUUCUUUCGUUUGCAAUUUCUCAUUGGUGUUCAUGUAAUUACCCUGCAACCUUUCUUAGUAGUGCCUAACAUUUGAUUGUUGUGCUUACAUAGAACUGGAACUUUUUUGGAUUUUGUAAGGCUGCGGAUAACAAGCCGGCAGGGGGAUUCAAUACCAAGAUUUAUGAUUUGGCAUAAGUGAGAUGACAUAUAGUUAUGGACAUGUUGAUAAUUGGUUAUCAAGCAAAGGCAUUUCCUACAUAUUGAGGGGUAUGCGUGAUAUCUUUUCUAAGGCCAUGAAAUAUUUUCAGGAAGCUUUAGAAUGCUGGUGGCUGAUGGGGAUUAUAAGAACUUAAAUGCCAGAGAAGCCGUGCUCCCCUUUACGACGAAGACUCAGACUUGAAGUCCCUUAUGUGCUUGAUACAAACGCCUCCC